rnacentral:misc_RNA from 1 species
AAGGAGUCUAACAUAUAUGCGAGUAUUUGGGUGGCAAACCCAUAUGCGUAAUGAAAGUGAACACGAUGGGAUCUUCGGUGCACCAUCGACCGGUCUUGAAGUUUACGGAUAGAUCUGAGUAAGAGCAUAUAUGCUGGGACCCGAAAGAUGGUGAACUAUGCCUGAAUAGGGCGAAGCCAGAGGAAACUCUGGUGGAGGCUCGUAGCGGUUCUGACGUGCAAAUCGAUCGUCAAAUUUGGGUAUAGGGGCGAAAGACUAAUCGAACCAUCUAGUAGCUGGUUCCCUC